rnacentral:rRNA from 1 species
AGCGAAAUUCCUUGUCGGGUAAGUCCGACCUGCACGAAUGGCGUAACGAUGGCCACACUGUCUCCUCCUGAGACUCAGCGAAGUUGAAAUGUUUGUGAAGAUGCAAUCUCCCCGCGGCUAGACGGAAAGACCCCAUGAACCUUUACUGUAGCUUUGCAUUGGACUUUGACGGGACUUGUGUAGGAUAGGUGGGAGGCUAUGAAACCGGGACGCCAGUUCCGGUGGAGCCACCCUUGAAAUACCACCCUGGUGUCGUCGAGGUUCUAACCCAGGCCUGUGAAUCCAGGUCGGGGACCGUGCAUGGUGGGCAGUUUGACUGGGGCGGUCUCCUCCCAAAAGGUAACGGAGGAGUACGAAGGUCACCUAGGUACGGUCGGACAUCGUACUGAUAGUGCAAUGGCAAAAGGUGGCUUGACUGCGAGACCCACACGUCGAGCAGGUGCGAAAAGCAGGUCAUAGUGAUCCGGUGGUUCUGUAUGGAAGGGCCAUCGCUCAACGGAUAAAAAGGUACUCUGGGG